rnacentral:hammerhead_ribozyme from 1 species
AUCCAGCUGAUGAGUCCCACAUAGGACGAAACGCGCGUCGUGGAU